rnacentral:rRNA from 1 species
UACGAAGGGGGCUAGCGUUGCUCGGAAUCACUGGGCGUAAAGCGCACGUAGGCGGAUUGCUAAGUCAGGGGUGAAAUCCUGGAGCUCAACUCCAGAACUGCCUUUGAUACUGGCGAUCUAGAGUCCGGGAGAGGUGAGUGGAACUCCUAGUGUAGAGGUGAAAUUCGUAGAUAUUAGGAAGAACACCAGUGGCGAAGGCGGCUCACUGGCCCGGUACUGACGCUGAUGUGCGAAAGCGUGGGGAGCAAACAGG